AAACGGGAAAAUACCAAUGAACAAAAUCAACAAACGAUAACUGCUGAACGACAGGCCCUGAAUCAAUCAGGACAGGUGCAUAAAUAUGCAGCGGCUAUGGAUAGUAUUGUUUCGCAAGCAUACAAUAUAAUUGCAGUUGAAGGCAAAUCCUUCAGAAGUUCUUUGUUCUUUAUUCUAACAACGAACAUUUUUUGAUAGGGAAUAUAAGUAAGG
rnacentral:lncRNA from 1 species